UACGUAGGGGGCGAGCGUUGUCCGGAUUCAUUGGGCGUAAAGAGCUCGUAGGCGGUUCGGCAAGUCGGGUGUGAAAACUCCAGGCUCAACCUGGAGACGCCACCCGAUACUGCUGUGACUCGAGUCCGGUAGGGGACCACGGAAUUCCUGGUGUAGCGGUGAAAUGCGCAGAUAUCGGGAGGAACACCAAUGGCGAAGGCAGCUCGCUGGGACGUGACUGACGCUGAGACGCGAAAGCGUGGGGAGCAAACAGG
rnacentral:rRNA from 1 species